rnacentral:rRNA from 1 species
GAAAGAACACGGAGAAAAUGAACAAGAACAACUUUGAGCGGUGGAUCACUCGGCUCGUGCGUCGAUGAAGAGCGCAGCCAGC